rnacentral:rRNA from 1 species
AGAGUUUGAUCCUGGCUCAGAUUGAACGCUGGCGGAAUGCUUUACACAUGCAAGUCGAACGGCAGCACGGGGGCAACCUUGGUGGCGAGUGGCGAACGGGUGAGUAAUACAUCGGAACGUGCCCAGUCGUGGGGGAUAACUACGCGAAAGCGUAGCUAAUACCGCAUACGAUCUACGGAUGAAAGCGGGGGAUCGCAAGACCUCGCGCGAUUGGAGCGGCCGAUGGCAGAUUAGGUAGUUGGUGGGGUAAAGGCUCACCAAGCCUGCGAUCUGUAGCUGGUCUGAGAGGACGACCAGCCACACUGGGACUGAGACACGGCCCAGACUCCUACGGGAGGCAGCAGUGGGGAAUUUUGGACAAUGGGCGCAAGCCUGAUCCAGCCAUUCCGCGUGCAGGAUGAAGGCCUUCGGGUUGUAAACUGCUUUUGUACGGAACGAAAAAGCCUCUUCUAAUACAGGAGGUCCAUGACGGUACCGUAAGAAUAAGCACCGGCUAACUACGUGCCAGCAGCCGCGGUAAUACGUAGGGUGCGAGCGUUAAUCGGAAUUACUGGGCGUAAAGCGUGCGCAGGCGGUGAUGUAAGACAGAUGUGAAAUCCCCGGGCUCAACCUGGGAACUGCAUUUGUGACUGCAUCGCUGGAGUGCGGCAGAGGGGGAUGGAAUUCCGCGUGUAGCAGUGAAAUGCGUAGAUAUGCGGAGGAACACCGAUGGCGAAGGCAAUCCCCUGGGCCUGCACUGACGCUCAUGCACGAAAGCGUGGGGAGCAAACAGGAUUAGAUACCCUGGUAGUCCACGCCCUAAACGAUGUCAACUGGUUGUUGGGUCUUCACUGACUCAGUAACGAAGCUAACGCGUGAAGUUGACCGCCUGGGGAGUACGGGCCGCAAGGUUGAAACUCAAAUGAAUUGACGG